rnacentral:rRNA from 1 species
UUUGUAAAGAGUUUGAUCCUGGCUCAGGACGAACGCUGGCGGCACGCUUAACACAUGCAAGUCGAACGGACGAUUUGGAGC